rnacentral:rRNA from 1 species
UACGAAGGGGGCUAGCGUUGUUCGGAAUUACUGGGCGUAAAGCGCACGUAGGCGGGUUUGUAAGUAGAUGGUGAAAUCCCAGGGCUCAACCCUGGAACUGCCUUCUAGACUGCAAGCCUGGAGGUCAGGAGAGGCGAGUGGAAUACCGAGUGUAGAGGUGAAAUUCGUAGAUAUUCGGUGGAACACCAGUGGCGAAGGCGACUCGCUGGACUGAUACUGACGCUGAGGUGCGAAAGCGUGGGGAGCAAACAGG